rnacentral:rRNA from 1 species
GCGAGUGAAGCGGCAACAGCUCAAAUUUGAAAUCUGGCUCUUUCAGGGUCCGAGUUGUAAUUUGCAGAGGGUGCUUUGGUGUUGGCGGCGGUCUAAGUUCCUUGGAACAGGACAUCGCAGAGGGUGAGAAUCCCGUAUGUGGUCGCCUGCCUUCGCCGUGUAAAGCCCCUUCGACGAGUCGAGUUGUUUGGGAAUGCAGCUCUAAAUGGGAGGUAAAUUUCUUCUAAAGCUAAAUACCGGCCAGAGACCGAUAGCGCACAAGUAGAGUGAUCGAAAGAUGAAAAGCACUUUGGAAAGAGAGUCAAACAGCACGUGAAAUUGUUAAAAGGGAAGCGCUUGCAGCCAGACUUGCCUGCAGUUGUUCGCCUGGGCUUUUGCCCGGGUUACUCUUCUGCAGGCAGGCCAGCAUCAGUUUGGGCGGUCGGAUAAAGGUCCCUGACACGUAUCUCCCUUCGGGGUUAACAUAUAGGGGGGACGUAAUGCGACCAGCCCGGACUGAGGUCCGCGCAUCUGCUAGGAUGCUGGCGUAAUGGCUGUAAGCGGCCCGUCUUGAAACACGGACCAAGGAGUCUAACAUCUAUGCGAGUGUUUGGGUGUCAAGCCCGAGCGCGUAAUGAAAGUGAACGGAGGUGGGAACCCCUCGGGGCGCACCAUCGACCGAUCCUGAUGUCUUCGGAUGGAUUUGAGUAAGAGCAUAGCUGUUGGGACCCGAAAGAUGGUGAACUAUGCUUGAAUAGGGUGAAGCCAGAGGAAACUCUGGUGGAGGCUCGCAGCGGUUCUGACGUGC